UAGAAGAGCAACUCAUAAUAAUUUAAGAGACAGGAGUGGCAAACCCUUGCAGUUUCUUACAAUAAACUUGUGAGAAGUAACUAUCACAGAACUGGAAACAUCAAGAUCCCCUUUCUGUCAGCCUUGUGCUUUCUCAGACUUACCAAUUAAGUUGUGGCUCAGCACCAGACAGAAAAGCUGCCUAUUCGCUUUGUAAUGCUGGCUGCAAUCUGGAGUCCUUGGUGACUCUCAUGAGGAAAUACUACACCUCCCUUAGGCAUGCUUGCUUUAAUACAAGCUGGGUGGCCACUGGAAAGCAGAACUACAGGAAAAAAGUGUGCCUGGCACAGGUGAUGGAGACACGUUGAUGGGACAUGUUGAGAUGUUGAUUAGUAACUCUGCUGCAUAAAGACAGCUGAAGAAACUGCAAAUCUUCACUGCUCUGAGAAUCAGAAAAGGUAGCAGUCUGAAUCAAAAGCCCAUUCUGCUUUGUAGGAAGAUGACAAAAGAAAGCAGCAAAGAAUGUCAGCAGUUUUUAUGCCAGAAACAGUCUACAAGUAACUGAAUUUCCAGAAAUGUAAACCUA